UAUCUUAAUAGUGGCAGGGAAAAGUUAUGAUUUUGAAUAUCGAGCAGCUCCUAAUAAACAUAGGUUGGUGAAUAUACGCAUUGCGAACAGGACAAAAAUUCAAUUUACAAAACGUCGGAUGUGGAAACUUUUUGAACGUGUGCUGUUUUGGUACUUUUAUAACCAAUCAUAUUCUCCGCAUUUGCGGUUUCAUCGAAGUUGUUUCCUUUUUUCCGUUGCAGCACUAUGUUUCAGGAGUGUUUGAUUCUGAGGAUUGCGAUAUCGACGACUACGAUGAUACAAAUCACGCUGCUGUUAUCGUUGGCCAUUACAAGGAUUCAUGGAUUAUUCGGGACAGCAUGCCCACGAAUUGGGGUUUACAGGGUCACUGGUUGGUGAAGAAAGGAAGAUGCGGAGUAGGUGUGAGAAGUUAUGAAUUGAAGGGCCCGUAUCCAGCCCAACAGAACCCCACGCAGACCAAUCAGAAUCCGCAGCAAGCAAGUUCGUCAAAAAGGAAACGUCCAGACCAAUCCUGAAUUGUACGAGAGAAUGCCAACCGAGAGUAAUCAUACCCGAGAGUCAUGGACGCUGUAUUGCAGCACCGAAUUGAACAUUACUAUGCUGGCCUAUUCUACUGUGCAUCUGAGCAAAAUCGAUCCAUCGCCACAAAAAACUAUUUCUGAGCGAUUUUUUACCAGGUGAUUUUUUGGUUUUUGGACAAGCAUGAAAUUAGAAUUUUCGCAAACAAAUAAGGCCAAUCACACACUUGUGUGCUUUGUUAAAGUUUACCACAUUAGAGUAGAUUAGAUUGAAAAACUGGAGGACAAAACUCAAAACACGGAAACUCUGAGAAGUAUAUAGUGACGAGUUAUAUACUCGAAUGAGACAGGAAUCUAGUGGCUUCUUCGAGC